rnacentral:rRNA from 1 species
GUGGGGAAUUUUCCGCAAUGGGCGAAAGCCUGACGGAGCAAUGCCGCGUGGAGGUGGAAGGCCUACGGGUCGUCAACUUCUUUUCUCGGAGAAGAAACAAUGACGGUAUCUGAGGAAUAAGCAUCGGCUAACUCUGUGCCAG